CACUAAGCAUAUCAAUAAGCGGAGGAAAAGAAACCAACAGGGAUUGCCCUAGUAACGGCGAGUGAAGCGGCAACAGCUCAAAUUUGAAAGCUGGCCUUCGGGUCCGCAUUGUAAUUUGUAGAGGAUGCUUUGGGUGAAACGCCAGUCUAAGUUCCUUGGAACAGGACGUCAUAGAGGGUGAGAAUCCCGUAUGUGACUGGAAAUGUUAACCUAUGUAAAGCUCCUUCGACGAGUCGAGUUGUUUGGGAAUGCAGCUCUAAAUGGGAGGUAAAUUUCUUCUAAAGCUAAAUAUUGGCGAGAGACCGAUAGCGCACAAGUAGAGUGAUCGAAAGAUGAAAAGCACUUUGGAAAGAGAGUUAAAAAGCACGUGAAAUUGUUGAAAGGGAAGCGCUUGCAAUCAGACUUGUUUAAACUGUUCGGCCGGUCUUCUGACCGGUUUACUCAGUUUGGACAGGCCAGCAUCAGUUUCGGCGGCCGGAUAAAGGCUCUGGGAAUGUGGCCUUCACUUCGGUGAAGGUGUUAUAGCCCAGGGUGUAAUACGGCCAGCCGGGACUGAGGUCCGCGCUUCGGCUAGGAUGCUGGCGUAAUGGUUGUAAGCGACCCGUCUUGAAACACGGACCAAGGAGUCUAACAUCUAUGCGAGUGUUCGGGUGUCAAACCCCUGCGCGUAAUGAAAGUGAACGGAGGUGGGAACCGCAAGGUGCACCAUCGACCGAUCCUGAUGUCUUCGGAUGGAUUUGAGUAAGAGCAUAGCUGUUGGGACCCGAAAGAUGGUGAACUAUGCCUGAAUAGGGUGAAGCCAGAGGAAACUCUGGUGGAGGCUCGCAGCGGUUCUGACGUGCAAAUCGAUCGUCAAAUUUGGGUAUAGGGGCGAAAGACUAAUCGAACCAUCUAGUAGCUGGUCCUGCCG
rnacentral:rRNA from 1 species